AAAAGAGUGAAAAUAUCUUAUUAUAGGACAAUCAUACAACUUCAUCACAUAGAGCUUUGAAGCGUACAACUUUUAGACAUUCAACUUUUACGCAUACAAACUUUGACAUACAUACGUAGAAAUAACUUAUUAUAGGACCAAACAGUUGUCCAACACCUGGUUCGAUUGACCAAUGAUCAACCAUUAUGCAUAUAUGGAAAAUAACUUAUUUCACCACCACAAAUCAUGCAUGAUUAACUAUCCUCAGAUUCUUCUCCCUCAUGUGUUUUGCCACCACCCCCACUACUAAUUCGACCCCUGCCACUGCGGUUAUUGUCCUUAUUAACUUUCUCACCACCAAUCUGUAUAAAAAGAACGUCUGAUGGUGGAACAGUGGUUGACGUAUCUUCUGCAGCGGGUAGGGGUUCGAUAGUGUUUGGUUCAGCAGGUAGCGGUUCAGUAGUGGUUGUUUCAGCGGGUAGGGGUUCGAUAGUGGUUGGUUCAGUGGGUAGGGGUUCGAUAGUGGGUUAUUCAGAACCUCUUCACCGCCAGCAACAGAUUUUGCUUCCAUAUUUAACUGAAGGUGUAGAGAAU
rnacentral:lncRNA from 1 species